GCUAUACAUGCAGUCGAGCGAAUGGAUUAAGAGCUUGCUCUUAUGAAGUUAGCGGCGGACGGGUGAGUAACACGUGGGUAACCUGCCCAUAAGACUGGGAUAACUCCGGGAAACCGGGGCUAAUACCGGAUAACAUUUUGAACUGCAUGGUUCGAAAUUGAAAGGCGGCUUCGGCUGUCACUUAUGGAUGGACCCGCGUCGCAUUAGCUAGUUGGUGAGGUAACGGCUCACCAAGGCAACGAUGCGUAGCCGACCUGAGAGGGUGAUCGGCCACACUGGGACUGAGACACGGCCCAGACUCCUACGGGAGGCAGCAGUAGGGAAUCUUCCGCAAUGGACGAAAGUCUGACGGAGCAACGCCGCGUGAGUGAUGAAGGCUUUCGGGUCGUAAAACUCUGUUGUUAGGGAAGAACAAGUGCUAGUUGAAUAAGCUGGCACCUUGACGGUACCUAACCAGAAAGCCACGGCUAACUACGUGCCAGCAGCCGCGGUAAUACGUAGGUGGCAAGCGUUAUCCGGAAUUAUUGGGCGUAAAGCGCGCGCAGGUGGUUUCUUAAGUCUGAUGUGAAAGCCCACGGCUCAACCGUGGAGGGUCAUUGGAAACUGGGAGACUUGAGUGCAGAAGAGGAAAGUGGAAUUCCAUGUGUAGCGGUGAAAUGCGUAGAGAUAUGGAGGAACACCAGUGGCGAAUGCGACUUUCUGGUCUGUAACUGACACUGAGGCGCGAAAGCGUGGGGAGCAAACAGGAUUAGAUACUCCUGGUAGUCCACGCCGUAAACGAUGAGUGCUAAGUGUUAGAGGGUUUCCGCCCUUUAGUGCUGAAGUUGACGCAUUAAGCACUCCGCCUGGGGAGUACGGCC
rnacentral:rRNA from 1 species